rnacentral:lncRNA from 1 species
GAUUACAACUGCUCUUAGGAUGAAAUGACUGGAGCCCAGAUACCUUAUUUAGCAAUCAGUGCCCGGCACAAGGACUUGCUGUGCCAAUGAGAAGGAAGCGAGGCAUUUUGGCUAGUCACAGCGUUUUUGCUGUGUCACAGGGAGACAGAAGAUGGGCUGCUAUUUCAUCGGCUAAAUGCUAUCAUUUUAAGCACCGUUCCAAAGAAAACAGGGAUCUUGCCAGAGGAAAAUAACAUAUACCAUAAAGGAAAAAGAAAUGUACAUCAAGGCAAAUAAACAGCUUUCUACCAAGGGCCUAGGAUCUUGCUAGAGGAGUCAUUUCUCUGGUUGAAAAGCAGUUGAGAAAGGCAAGACAAGGGGGGCGGGGGCCAAGCAGGGCACCUCUGAGCCCUUCCUGCUGCUCUUCAAGGACAGAUGCAUUUUCCUUUCUAUGGUCUCCUUGCAAAUCUGCUGUAGGCCCUGCCACCUUCAGGCUGACUGACUGCCUCCUUCAAAUAUCAGCAUUUGGAAGAGUACUGGGGAGUCGACACCCCCAUGUCUGUGAGCUGACUGUAGGACGUCUCCUGUCUGGGUGCUGGCACCUCAUCUAACAUUUGAAGGUAAAAGCAGCUCCAGCCUCCUGCAGGUGCAAGGACCCGGGAACUGCUCUGUGGGCUGGGCUCA